rnacentral:lncRNA from 1 species
UUUUUUUUAUGAAAGUACUUGACGACAGUCUUUCAAGUUGGAUGAUGAAAAUGCAUAUCUUCGAAAAAUUCCAAUUGUUUGUGUGUGAUAUCUAGAGUUUAUAGUCUUCAUACACUAAAAAAAUCUAGUCUGCCCUUCCACGAAAAAUUUAUUUAGAAUUUUUUUUAAAUGUUUAUGAAUUUUCGAAAAUUCCACCUGACAACCGAUCAGAUAAUAGUUUUAAGUUGAAUCAAUGCAGACAAGAUUAUUAACUGAUGCUCAUUAUCUAGUUGAUACAUUUGUCUUUAAAAAUACAACUGACAUAUAAGGAUCGUAAUGAUGCAAUAUGGAUAAAUUUAUCGGUUUCCAAGAGCAAAAUUGGUAGCGCGUCAUCCCUACAAUGGCUUCCGUUUCUACGAUUGUGAAAAUGAACUGGCGUAAUGGGGAGAUAAUUUUGACGAAGUAGGAUCCUGACUGCUCCUUUAUUCCAAUAUCAUACAUUCUUUUCUAUAUAUGUAUGACAGGACUAUUUGGACAGUGCAAUGAAAUUAGUUUGUAAACCCCAUUUUAGUAUUUCAAUUGUUUUAAUGUAUAUUUAGGUUUUGCAUUUAUUUUAUUAAUCUAUACUUUGUCGUAAAUUCAGGCAUAAGUGUUUUACACAUAUUAUGUGUCAUAAUCUUGGACAAAGGUCUUAAAUGCAUUUACUCUAUUUAUCGCAUUAUUAAUUCUCUGUGACAGUUUAGACUAUAAUUUACAAAUACGUGUCGGACACUAAUUACUCUUUUAAUCUAUUGUUAUUUCUAAUUUGUCUUCUGUUAAUCUUCUUAAUCCUUUAAUUGCUUGUGCUUAUAUAUAUUGUUGUUGUUUGUAUGUUACUUUACAUUUAGUUUGGAGUUUGUUGUUCGGUCUUGCCGGACUACUGAAAUAAAAGUUUAAGGAGCGAAAUCUUCCUUCUUGAUUUUACAUAUAGUCGAAUAGCCAUUUUACCCGGCUAUAUCUGUGAUGUCCCUAAUUUCUGAUGAGUUAGCUCUUAAAAAACUCUGAUUAAAAUAUAUUUGCGAAGAAUACAAACUUUUAAUUGCAGUUGUAUCCCUUUUUCAUCAAUGCCAACUUGAAAGAAC